rnacentral:rRNA from 1 species
GAUCCUGGCUCAGGAUGAACGCUAGCGGCAGGCUUAACACAUGCAAGUCGAGGGGCAGCAUGGUCUUAGCUUGCUAAGACUGAUGGCGACCGGCGCACGGGUGAGUAACACGUAUCCAACCUGCCGUCUACUCUUGGACAGCCUUCUGAAAGGAAGAUUAAUACAAGAUGGCAUCAUGAGUCCGCAUGUUCACAUGAUUAAAGGUAUUCCGGUGGACGAUGGGGA